rnacentral:rRNA from 1 species
CGGACGGGUGAGUAACGCGUAGGAAUCUACCCAGUAGUGGGGGACAACAGUCGGAAACGGCUGCUAAUACCGCAUACGCCCUAUGGGGGAAAGCGGGGGAUCUUCGGACCUCGCGCUAUUGGAUGAGCCUGCGUAGGAUUAGCUUGUUGGUGAGGUAAAGGCUCACCAAGGCGACGAUCCUUAGCUGGUCUGAGAGGAUGAUCAGCCACACUGGAACUGAGACACGGUCCAG